rnacentral:piRNA from 1 species
AAUAAAAAAGCAGCAGGGAUGAGUGAGC